CUGUCACCUCCAGCCUCUCCCCUCUCGGCCGCCUCUGCCAGCAGCCAGAGCCGGACUCACUGACAAGCCGCAGAGAGAGACACACUGAGAGGGAGAUGAUUAUUAGUUGCGUUGAGUCAUCAGGCAAAACAACAUCACUCAAACAACCCUAUUACUUCAGUAGCAAUGAACUGUCUCUGGAUUUUAUUAAGCAUCUCACUAGUUCCUUUUCUUCAGCUGUAUGGCACCCUGUCUUCCUGUACACCAGAGGCUCCUCAGCUGGGUAAGGUGAGCCAACGUUACCAGGAGUAUAUGCUGAGAGGCCAUUUCAAAGUCUUUCAUAGAAGGCUGUGCUUGGGCAAGUAGAACUUUUCAUCAUACAGUCCCAGAGAUGUGAAGUUAUCAAGGUCAGAGAAGAGGAAAAGAGACUCAGAGAAACUGUGUUCUCUAGUCUUUCAUUCGGGAACAAAUGGUGUCGUACCAAAUGGCUGAAAAGAUCCCAGGCUUACUCUGAGAAACAUCUCUCUCUUCUGAAUUAAACUUGCACAGUGGCUA
rnacentral:lncRNA from 1 species